rnacentral:rRNA from 1 species
GAUGAACGCUGGCGGCGUGCCUAAUACAUGCAAGUCGAGCGAACAGACGAGGAGCUUGCUCCUCUGACGUUAGCGGCGGACGGGUGAGUAACACGUGGAUAAUCUACCUAUAAGACUGGGAUAACUUCGGGAAACCGGAGCUAAUACCGGAUAAUAUAUUGAACCGCAUGGUUCAAUAGUGAAAGACGGUUUUGCUGUCACUUAUAGAUGGAUCCGCGCCGCAUUAGCUAGUUGGUAAGGUAACGGCUUACCAAGGCAACGAUGCGUAGCCGACCUGAGAGGGUGAUCGGCCACACUGGAACUGAGACACGGUCCAGACUCCUACGGGAGGCAGCAGUAGGGAAUCUUCCGCAAUGGGCGAAAGCCUGACGGAGCAACGCCGCGUGAGUGAUGAAGGUCUUCGGAUCGUAAAACUCUGUUAUUAGGGAAGAACAAAUGUGUAAGUAACUAUGCACGUCUUGACGGUACCUAAUCAGAAAGCCACGGCUAACUACGU